CCUACGGGAGGCAGCAGUAGGGAAUCUUCCGCAAUGGACGAAAGUCUGACGGAGCAACGCCGCGUGAGUGAUGAAGGCUUUCGGGUCGUAAAACUCUGUUGUUAGGGAAGAACAAGUGCUAGUUGAAUAAGCUGGCACCUUGACGGUACCUAACCAGAAAGCCACGGCUAACUACGUGCCAGCAGCCGCGGUAAGACGGAGGAUGCAAGUGUUAUCCGGAAUCACUGGGCGUAAAGCGUCUGUAGGUGGUUUAAUAAGUCAACUGUUAAAUCUUGAGGCUCAACUUCAAAAUCGCAGUCGAAACUAUUAGACUAGAGUAUAGUAGAGGUAAAGGGAAUUUCCAGUGGAGCGGUGAAAUGCGUAGAUAUUGGAAAGAACACCGAUGGCGAAAGCACUUUACUGGGCUAUUACUAACACUCAGAGACGAAAGCUAGGGUAGCAAAUGGGAUUAGAUACCCCAGUAGUCCUAGCCGUAAACAAUGGAUACUAGAUGUUGAACAGAUCGACCUGUGCAGUAUCAAAGCUAACGCGUUAAGUAUCCCGCCUGGGAAGUAUGCUCGCAAGAGUGAAACUCAAAGGAAUU
rnacentral:rRNA from 1 species